rnacentral:rRNA from 1 species
CUAUACAUGCAAGUCGAGCGCGGGAAGCAAACGGAAUCCUUCGGGAGGAAGUUUGUGGAACGAGCGGCGGACGGGUGAGUAACACGUGGGCAACCUACCUGUAAGAUUGGGAUAACCCCGGGAAACCGGGGCUAAUACCAGAUAACACUUACCAUCUCAUGGUGGUAAGUUGAAAGGCGGCUAGGGUGAAAGUUUACUUUCAUCUCUGCUGUCACUUACAGAUGGGCCCGCGGCGCAUUAGCUAGUUGGUGGGGUAACGGCUCACCAAGGCAACGAUGCGUAGCCGACCUGAGAGGGUGAUCGGCCACACUGGGACUGAGACACGGCCCAGACUCCUACGGGAGGCAGCAGUAGGGAAUCUUCCGCAAUGGACGAAAGUCUGACGGAGCAACGCCGCGUGAGUGAUGAAGGUUUUCGGAUCGUAAAACUCUGUUGUUAGGGAAGAACAAGUACCGUUCGAAUAGGGCGGUACCAUGACGGUACCUAACCAGAAAGCCCCGGCUAACUACGUGCCAGCAGCCGCGGUAAUACGUAGGGGGCAAGCGUUGUCCGGAAUUAUUGGGCGUAAAGCGCUCGCAGGCGGUCUUUUAAGUCUGAUGUGAAAGCCCACGGCUCAACCGUGGAGGGUCAUUGGAAACUGGAGGACUUGAGUACAGAAGAGGAGAGUGGAAUUCCACGUGUAGCGGUGAAAUGCGUAGAGAUGUGGAGGAACACCAGUGGCGAAGGCGACUCUCUGGUCUGUAACUGACGCUGAGGAGCGAAAGCGUGGGGAGCGAACAGGAUUAGAUACCCUGGUAGUCCACGCCGUAAACGAUGAGUGCUAGGUGUUAGGGGGUUUCCGCCCCUUAGUGCUGAAGUUAACGCAUUA